rnacentral:rRNA from 1 species
AGUGAACGCUGGCGGCGUGCUUAACACAUGCAAGUCGAACGAGAACGGAUUAUAGCUUGCUAUAAUUGUCAGCUAAGUGGCGCACGGGUGAGUAAUGCAUAGGUAAUAUGCCUCUUACUAAGGGAUAACAAAUGGAAACGUUUGCUAAUACCUUAUACUCCUUAUUAACAGAAGUUAAUAAGGGAAAGAUUUAUUGGUAAGAGAUUAGCCUGUAUUGUAUCAGUUAGUUGGUGGGGUAAUGGCUUACCAAGACUAUGACGCAUAACUGGUUUGAGAGGAUGAUCAGUCACACUGGAACUGAGACACGGUCCAGACUCCUACGGGAGGCAGCAGUGGGGAAUAUUGCACAAUGGACGAAAGUCUGAUGCAGCAACGCCGCGUGGAGGAUGACACAUUUCGGUGCGUAAACUCCUUUUAUAUGAGAAGAUAAUGACGGUAUUAUAUGAAUAAGCACCGGCUAACUCCGUGCCAGCCGCCGCAGUAA